rnacentral:rRNA from 1 species
GACGAACGCUGACGGCGUGCUUUAGACAUGCAAGUCGAACGAGAGAGCCCUUCGGGGUUAGUAAAGUGGCGAACGGGUGAGUAACACGUGGGCAAUCUGCCCUUCGUUGGGGGACAACCGGGGGAAACCCCGGCUAAUACCCCGUAAGCUUGUCGGGUCGCAUGGCCUGACAAGGAGAGGUAGCUUCGGCCAUCCGGCGAAGGAGGAGCCCGCGGUACAUUAGCUAGUUGGUGAGGUAAAGGCCCACCAAGGCGACGAUGUAUAGCUGGUCUGAGAGGAGGAUCAGCCACACUGGAACUGAGACACGGCCCAGACUCCUACGGGAGGCAGCAGUCGGGAAUCUUGCACAGUGGGCGAAAGCCUGAUGCAGCAACGCCGUGUGAGCGACGAAGGCCCUAGGGUCGUAAAGCUCUGUUGUUAGGGACGAAGGGCGAAGGGUUAAUAGCCCUUAGCCUGACGGUACCUUUCGAGGAGGCCCCGGCCAACUACGUGCCAGCCGCCGCCGUAA